rnacentral:lncRNA from 13 species
CGUCAGAGGCGGGGCGGGCACGUGACCAGGCGCGCGCGCGGCGGGCAGUAUAUAAAGGCUGACCGAGGCGCGGCCUCCUCACAACGGCGGGAGCCGCGGCUGCGGGGAUGGUGUUCUGUGAGGGGUUCGGGCGCUCUCCGAGGCCGGUUUGGGGGCUGCCCGCAGCCCCUCAUGGUUGUCAGGGCUGCCCAAGUAGGGAGAGAAGGCCGGCGUGCAGCCCUUGUACCAGGGAGAGGUGUCGUCCGUUGUGGCAGCUCCUUAAGGCUUCUCUUUGGGGACAGCUGGGUGUGAGGGGUCACAGCUGCUGCCCCGGGUCUGGCCCCUGAGGGUGGGCACGGCUGGAAGGACAGGGAAGAACCCCUGAGAUCACUGAGUUCAACUUAUGACUGGACAGCGCCAUGUCAGCCAGAAGCACAAAGUGCCCCAUUGUCCUUCCUUAAACAAUUCCCUGAUUUUGGGGUGAGCGUCUGGCUCUCCUAGGUCCUCACUGCUGCCAGGGGGAGAGGAUGGAGCUCUACAGAGAUGUGGGAUACUUGCUCCAUCAUCUCCACGGCCCUGUUUGACUCAUGCUUGGCCUGGGCUGCUGAGAGGGUGAGAAAAGGCUGUGAAAUCCAAGUGAAGCAAGACCUGGGCUCUGUCUUUUGCGUCCCUCACCCUCUGUUGAAUCCAAGGCGCUUUUUUAGCCGGGAGCUGCUGGAACCUCUGGAAGAGGGACUGCUCGUGGUGUUGCAGAAUUACCAUGGUGCUGAGAUUGUUUAUGGGCACUGCAGACUUGUGUGUGUGCACGUGGAGUGGAGGAAGCUGAAAUCUGCUCCCAGCCCUGUCUGCAGCAAGUGAAAACGCCUCUGUUUGGAUUAACCAAGUCUGGCCUUACAAAAAGGUCUGUUAAGCACGGCUCAGGAAAACCAAGCAUCCCAGAUACGUUGGAUGGUGCUGACAGAUUUAUGGCCGAGGAAACAACCCGUAACUUGUGAGAUGCUGCUCCCCACCAUUAAUGCAGUUGGGACGUUUUUUCCAGCACUAAUUGGGAUGAGGAUUGAUGUCCUCGCCCCUUCUCUCCGGAGGGGCUGGCAAACACCAGGGGCUUCCCUUUGGAGCUUCUUGAAGCUCUGAAAAUUGCUGAAGUGAGGUUUUUUUUCUCAUGAAUUCCCACUGUCCUGAUGACUUUUGGACAUCUGAGGAGUCUGAGCAGGUUUGUAGAAGCUCUCUGUGUGUAAGAAUAUGUGUGACUACAUCUAUAUAUUUACAUUUUGUAUGUAUGUGAACAUGUGUGUAGAGACUAAAAGGAAAUUAGCUCCUAUUCCAUUGCUCAGGGCUGGGAUCUGCACAUUCUCUUUGGAGUAUUUCGUGCCAGAUAUGAGCUCUGACUUACAUUUUGAAUAACAAUUUUAAUUAAAUUGGUGUUUGUGACCUGCUGCAGGGUGGGGGUGAGGGUGGCUUUGGCCACUCUCUUGCUCAGGAAACAAAAUGACCUCACUUGUGAGAGUUGCAGGGUGACAGGCACCGGCUUCCAUC